rnacentral:rRNA from 1 species
CACAUAUUAGAUAUUAAACUGAUAAAAACAGAUACUACACUUGAUUUUAGCCAAAAGGCCGAGAAAGGUAUGCUUUAAAACGGCGCCCAGGGUCUCCUUUUAUAGCUCUCUCAACCGCUCCGCUCUGUUGCACGGGCGAGGUGGUACUAA